CCGGAGCUUGCUCCACCGAAAGAAAAGGAGUGGCGAACGGGUGAGUAACACGUGGGUAACCUGCCCAUCAGAAGGGGAUAACACUUGGAAACAGGUGCUAAUACCGUAUAACAAUCGAAACCGCAUGGUUUUGAUUUGAAAGGCGCUUUCGGGUGUCGCUGAUGGAUGGACCCGCGGUGCAUUAGCUAGUUGGUGAGGUAACGGCUCACCAAGGCCACGAUGCAUAGCCGACCUGAGAGGGUGAUCGGCCACAUUGGGACUGAGACACGGCCCAAACUCCUACGGGAGGCAGCAGUAGGGAAUCUUCGGCAAUGGACGAAAGUCUGACCGAGCAACGCCGCGUGAGUGAAGAAGGUUUUCGGAUCGUAAAACUCUGUUGUUAGAGAAGAACAAGGAUGAGAGUAACUGUUCAUCCCUUGACGGUAUCUAACCAGAAAGCCACGGCUAACUACGUGCCAGCAGCCGCGGUAAUACGUAGGUGGCAAGCGUUGUCCGGAUUUAUUGGGCGUAAAGCGAGCGCAGGCGGUUUCUUAAGUCUGAUGUGAAAGCCCCCGGCUCAACCGGGGAGGGUCAUUGGAAACUGGGAGACUUGAGUGCAGAAGAGGAGAGUGGAAUUCCAUGUGUAGCGGUGAAAUGCGUAGAUAUAUGGAGGAACACCAGUGGCGAA
rnacentral:rRNA from 1 species